UAUACCAAGGCUAUAAAAGCGUUUGUUGUAAAUACAAAAACCAAAACCCUCGCCUCUUCAAAUACAAAAACCUAUAACCCUCCAAACAUAGUUUGCUAUGGAGAUCGCAAAAAAUAUUCGACAAUCAAGAUUGCCGGUGAAAUCACUCUUGAGAUUGAGGUGCGUUUCGAAAUCAUGGCGGUCUUUAAUUGGCAGCAAAAGCUUCAUCAAAACCCUGCCGUUUUGCAGUGUUGGAGUCGAGGUGGCCAUGGAAGUCGAGAAUGGCUAGAGAAUUAGUAUUUCUAUAAAAAUUUAAAUUGAACUUAUUACUUUUCAGUUUAUCGUUUUUAUUUCAUGUUACUAUAUUAGUUUUUUUUGAACAAGUUCGUUUUGAAUUAUUUUAAACUUUGUUAGUCAAGAAAUUUUAUUUUA